rnacentral:tRNA from 2 species
CGGAGACUAGUUCAUCGGUAGAACGCUCGGUUCGGGACCGAGAGGUAGAGGGUUCAAUUCCCUCGUCUCCGACCA